rnacentral:rRNA from 1 species
CCUACGGGAGGCAGCAGUGAGGAAUAUUGGUCAAUGGGCGAGAGCCUGAACCAGCCAAGUCGCGUGAGGGAGUACUGCCCUAUGGGUUGUAAACCUCUUUUGUCGGGGAGCAAAAGCCGGACGUGUCCGGCUGUGAGAGUACCCGAAGAAAAAGCAUCGGCUAACUCCGUGCCAGCAGCCGCGGUAAUACCGAGGAUGCGCGCGUUAUCCGGAUUUAUUGGGGUUAAAGGGUGCGCAGGCGGAUUGUUAAGUCAGCGGUCAAAUCGUGGGGCUCAACCCCAUCCAGCCGUUGAAACUGGGGAUCUAGAGUGUGCGAGAGGUAUGCGGAAUGCGUGGUGUAGCGGUGAAAUGCAUAGAUAUCACGCAGAACCCCGAUUGCGAAGGCAGCAUACCGGUGCACAACUGACGCUCAGGCACGAAAGCGUGGGUAUCGAACAGGAUUAGAUACCCUGGUAGUC